CCAUCGGUUCUUUUCAGAGCCAAAAAAAAAAGAGUUAAAAGAGAAAU
rfam:Aedes aegypti strain Liverpool supercont1.8 genomic scaffold, whole genome shotgun sequence.